GGGACUACUGGGGUUUCUAAUCCUGUUCGCUCCCCAUGCUUUCGCUUCUCAGUGUCAGUAAUGGCCCAGAGACCUGCCUUCGCCAUCGGUGUUCCUCCUGAUAUCUGCGCAUUCCACCGCUACACCAGGAAUUCCAGUCUCCCCUACCACACUCUAGUCUGCCCGUACCCACUGCAAGUCCGAGGUUGAGCCUCGGAUUUUCACAGCAGACGCGACAAACCGCCUACGAGCCCUUUACGCCCAAUAAUUCCGGACAACGCUCGCACCCUACGUAUUACCGCGGCGGCUGACAC
rnacentral:misc_RNA from 1 species